AUCAAAAGCAUUUAAAGCCUUUGUAUUUGUAAAUAAAAAAAAAUAUUCUCUUUCUUAACGACUUAAUAUUCUAGUUUAGUUUUUCCUUUUUAUUAUUCUUAAAUUAGAGUGAGAUGUCAAAUUGAAGAUCUAAAGCCUUUGUUUGGUUGUCUGUUUCAAAUUCAGUUAUGACUAACUAAUAAGAAAGCUUGUUGAGGCCGCCAUGUUCCAAUUCUCGCAUCUAUAUAAUGUCCUUCGUUCUUGACCGUUAUAGUUAAGAGCACGUUAACAGGAAGUUAAGAUUUUCAGAAAUCUAAUAAAAUAAAUAACAAAUGGUUCAAAUCAUAGAGCAAGAAUUCUCAAGAACUUUAUAUUAUAGUGUUAUUUUAUUAUUAUGUACUAACAUACUGUUACUACAUUUCACAAUUAUAAUGUGUGAACAAACUGUAGAUCCAUGUGUGGAUUCAAUCUUUGUGAAAUUAGACGAGAUGGAAUAUGAUCACGGGACAAUGGACAAGUAAUUAUCAUUAACUGAAGCUAAUUUUAUUAAAGAUAAUAACGCUUAAGAAAUGAAUAGCAAUAGUGAGAUCCGAUCAAAGAUGGAAUAAAAAAUAUUGUACAAGUCGAGGAAUACGAAGAAACACGAUCUUUCACCAUUACUAUCUUGAUAUCUUGAACGAAUCGAGAAGAUAAAUUUUAGACGAAAUAAAAUUAUAGUGACUGUGUGAAUCAACCAAGGUAAGUAUAGGCACAAAUGGUGUCAUUUCAUGAAGAUUCUUUCUCGCUCUCUAUUCUCACUUCUAUUUUAUCGAGAUUUUUAGAUAGACAUUUGAAUUUUAAGUAACACGAUGAAUCAAUGGAAGGGCAUAUUUUUUUCGAUGACUUGAUACAUAAAAAUUUGAUUUGAUAAUUUAUGAUUGGGUUAAAAAAUUUGAAAGAAAAAUUUCUGCAGUAUUAUUAAAUCUUGAAUUUCUCAUGCAUGUAUAUAUUAGAUAUUCAUUCUCUCCAAAAAUAUAUUGAAGAUGCAAUGAGAAAAAGGGCGAUAUUAAAAUAAGGAAUCAUGUAAAUUAAAUGUUUAGCUUCAUAUAAUAAAUUUAGUUAUUCGUGAUCUAGUCAUUGUACAAAUAAAUCGUAUUGUUGAACAUUCAGCAUUUGUUGUUCAAAAUGAAAAUAGAUUUUCGAUUCAAAGUUAUUUCAAAAUAAUUUUCGCGAAAAACAAUACGAUCUGAAUCUAAUUCAUAUUAGAUUCUUAUUAGAUCUUUAUUUUCAUGAUCUUUACAAGAUUUUUUUUAUGUUUUUUUUUACUGCGAAUUAUAUUUUUGCCAAUGUUCAUUGAUCUUUUGUGUGAUCGUUUAAGAAUUCUGUGAUACAAUCCCAUAAUCCGUUGUAUAUUAAAUUUAUUUUCACCAAAAAUUUCUAAUCUAUAGUUGAUAAUAUCUUCGAACUUCUUUGU